rnacentral:rRNA from 1 species
UACGAAGGGGGCUAGCGUUGCUCGGAAUCACUGGGCGUAAAGCGUUCGUAGGCGGGUGCUUAAGUGAGAUGUGAAAGCGUGUGGCUCAACCAUAUCGUUGUGUCUCAUACUGGGCGCCUGGAGGAAGGCAGAGGCAAGUGGAAUUGGCAGUGUAGCAGUGAAAUGCGUAGAGAUUGCCAGGAACACCAAUGGCGAAGGCAGCUUGCUGGGCCUUUUCUGACGCUGAGGAACGAAAGCGUGGGGAGCGAACAGG